UACGUAGGGGGCUAGCGUUGUCCGGAAUCAUUGGGCGUAAAGCGCGUGUAGGCGGCCCGGUAAGUCCGCUGUGAAAGUCCAGGGCUCAACCCUGGGAUGCCGGUGGAUACUGUCGGGCUCGAGUCCGGAAGAGGCGAGUGGAAUUCCUGGUGUAGCGGUGAAAUGCGCAGAUAUCAGGAGGAACACCAAUGGCGAAGGCAGCUCGCUGGGACGUGACUGACGCUGAGACGCGAAAGCGUGGGGAGC
rnacentral:rRNA from 1 species